rnacentral:rRNA from 1 species
UACGUAGGUGGCAAGCGUUGUCCGGAUUUAUUGGGCGUAAAGCGAGCGCAGGCGGUUCCUUAAGUCUGAUGUGAAAGCCCACGGCUCAACCGUGGAAGGUCAUUGGGAACUGGGGAACUUGAGUGCAGAAGAGGAGAGUGGAAUUCCAUGUGUAGCGGUGAAAUGCGUAGAUAUAUGGAGGAACACCAGUGGCGAAGGCGGCUUCCUGGUCUGUAACUGACACUGAGGCGCGAAAGCGUGGGGAGCAAACAGGAUUAGAUACCCCCGUA